rnacentral:rRNA from 1 species
CACAGAGGUCUCAAGCGUUGUUCGGAUUCAUUGGGCGUAAAGGGUGCGUAGGCGGCGCGGUAAGUCGGGUGUGAAAUCUCGGGGCUUAACUCCGAAACUGCAUUCGAUACUGCCGUGCUUGAGGACUGGAGAGGAGACUGGAAUUUACGGUGUAGCGGUGAAAUGCGUAGAUAUCGUAAGGAAGACCAGUGGCGAAGGCGGGUCUCUGGACAGUUCCUGACGCUGAGGCACGAAGGUCAGGGGAGCAAACGGG